UACGUAGGGCGCGAGCGUUGUCCGGAAUUAUUGGGCGUAAAGAGCUCGUAGGCGGCCUGUUGCGUCCGCUGUGAAAUCCCAGGGCUCAACCCUGGGCGUGCAGUGGAUACGGGCAGGCUGGAGGCAGGCAGGGGAGAACGGAAUUCCCGGUGUAGCGGUGAAAUGCGCAGAUAUCGGGAGGAAUACCGGUGGCGAAGGCGGCAUCCUGGACCGGCAUUGACGCUGAUGAGCGAAAGCUAGGGGAGCAAACGGG
rnacentral:rRNA from 1 species